UUGUAGGGAUGAUAAUGAAAGACCCCCAGAGCAGGAGACCCUCACUCAAGUCUCGGGAUGACACGACCCCCCCAAUAACUCACACAAGACC
rnacentral:pre_miRNA from 14 species